rnacentral:rRNA from 1 species
CAUAAUCAAUAGUCUCUUAAUUGGGGUCUAGUAUGAAUGGUCGGACAGGAGGUAGGCUGUCUUGGGUGUAUAUCUUGAAUUUUACUUUUAAGUGAAAAGGCUUAAAUUUAGUAGGGGGACGAUAAGACCCUAUAAAGCUUUACAUUUUGGUCCUCAGUCUGUAAAAUUUAUGGUGUUGGCAUUUGUUGGGCUAAUGUGUUUCGUUGGGGCGACGAGAAUAUAAUAUGUAACUGUUCUUAGAUUAAAAUAAAUAUAUUUAGAUAAUUCGAUCCUUUUUUAAGAUUGUAAGAUUAAAGUUACUUUAGGGAUAACAGCGUAAUUUUUCUUGAGAGUUCAUAUCGACAGAAUUAGUUGCGACCUCGAUGUUGAAUUAAGGUGUUAUCAAGGUGUAGCAGUCUUGAUAGUAAGUUUGUUCAACUUUUAAAA